rnacentral:rRNA from 1 species
CAGUAGCCGCGGUAAUACGAAGGGGGCUAGCGUUGCUCGGAAUUACUGGGCGUAAAGGGAGCGUAGGCGGGUCGUUUAGUCAGAGGUGAAAUCCCGGGGCUCAACCUCGGAACUGCCUUUGAUACUGGCGACCUUGAGUAUGGGAGAGGUAAGUGGAACUCCGAGUGUAGAGGUGAAAUUCGUAGAUAUUCGGAAGAACACCAGUGGCGAAGGCGACUUACUGGCCCAUUACUGACGCUGAGGCUCGAAAACGUGGGGAGCAAACAGGAUUAGAUACCCCUGUAGUCCCUGUCUCUUAUAA